rnacentral:rRNA from 1 species
UGGGGAAUAUUGGGCAAUGCCCGCAAGGGUGACCCAGCAACGCCGCGUGGAGGAUGAAUGUCGUAAGAUUGUAAACUCCUGUUAGAGGGGAAGAAUAGUACCGGUUGGACCGGUAUAUGACUGUACCCUCAGAGAAAGCCCCGGCUAACUACGUGCCAGCAGCCACGGUAAUACGUAGGGGGCAAGCGUUGUCCGGAUUUACUGGGUGUAAAGGGCGCGCAGGCGGGAUAAAAAGUCAGUGGUGAAAUCCUACAGCUUAACUGUAGAACUGCCUUUGAUACUUUUAUUCUUGAGUUCGGGAGAGAGAGACGGAAUUCCAGGUGUAGUGGUGAAAUACGUAGAUAUCUGGAAGAACACCAGUUGCGAAGGCGGUCUCUUGGUCCGACACUGACGCUGAGGCGCGAAAGCGUGGGGAGCAAACA